ensembl:Y_RNA Y_RNA Y RNA
GGCUGGUCCGAAGGCAGUGGGUAUUUACAAGAUUGCUACAGUCAGUUUCAGAAUCCUUGUUUCUUCUCUCCCCUCUCCCAUUGUCGAACUUGACCAGCUUUUU